CGGUUGAUCCUGCCGGAGGUUACUGCUAUCGGUGUUCGCCUAAGCCAUGCGAGUCAUAUGUUCUUCGUGAACAUGGCGUACUGCUCAGUAACACGUGGAUAACCUGCCCUUGGGACCGGCAUAACCCCGGGAAACUGGGGAUAAUUCCGGAUACCGCAUAUAUGCUGGAAUGCUUUAUGCGUAAAAUGGAUUCGUCUGCCCAAGGAUGGGUCUGCGGCCUAUCAGGUAGUAGUGGGUGUAAUGUACCUACUAGCCAACGACGGGUACGGGUUGUGAGAGCAAGAGCCCGGAGAUGGAUUCUGAGACAUGAAUCCAGGCCCUACGGGGCGCAGCAGGCGCGAAAACUUUACAAUGCGGGAAACCGUGAUAAGGGGACACCGAGUGCCAGCAACAUUUGUUGGCUGUCCAGGUGUGUAAACUACACCUGUUAGCAAGGGCCGGGCAAGACCGGUGCCAGCCGCCGCGGUGACACCGGCGGCCCGAGUGGUGAUCGUGAUUAUUGGGUCUAAAGGGUCCGUAGCCGGUUUGGUCAGUCCUCCGGGAAAUCUGACGGCUUAACCGUUAGGCUUUCGGGGGAUACUGCCAGGCUUGGAACCGGGAGAGGUAAGAGGUACUACAGGGGUAGGAGUGAAAUCUUGUAAUCCCUGUGGGACCACCUGUGGCGAAGGCGUCUUACCAGAACGGGUUCGACGGUGAGGGACGAAAGCUGGGGGCACGAACCGGAUUAGAUACCCGGGUAGUCCCAGCCGUAAACGAUGCUCGCUAGGUGUCAGGCAUGGCGCGACCGUGUCUGGUGCCGCAGGGAAGCCGUGAAGCGAGCCACCUGGGAAGUACGGCCGCAAGGCUGAAACUUAAAGGAAUUGGCGGGGGAGCAC
rnacentral:rRNA from 1 species